rnacentral:rRNA from 1 species
UACGUAGGGUGCGAGCGUUAAUCGGAAUUACUGGGCGUAAAGCGUGCGCAGGCGGCGCGUUAAGACAGGUGUGAAAGCCCCGAGCUUAACUUGGGAAUUGCGCUUGUGACUGGCGUGCUGGAGUGUGGCAGAGGGAGGUGGGAUUCCACGUGUAGCAGUGAAAUGCGUAGAGAUGUGGAGGAACACCGAUGGCGAAGGCAGCCUCCUGGGCCAGCACUGACGCUCAUGCACGAAAGCGUGGGGAGCAAACAGG